rnacentral:rRNA from 1 species
UACAGAGGUCCCAAGCGUUGUUCGGAUUCACUGGGCGUAAAGGGUGCGUAGGCGGUCGGAUAAGUCUGAUGUGAAAUCUUCGAGCUCAACUCGGAAACUGCAUCGGAAACUAUUCGGCUAGAGGAUUGGAGGGGAGACUGGAAUUCUCGGUGUAGCAGUGAAAUGCGUAGAUAUCGAGAGGAACACCAGUGGCGAAGGCGGGUCUCUGGGCCGAUACUGACGCUGAGGAGCGAAAGCGUGGGGAGCAAACAGG